GUGGAACCUAUCACCCUUGAGUGAGAGAUGAUGCUGAAAAGUAAAGCGGAAGUUAUGGUCGCUAAAGAAACACCUGUCGAACCUUUAGUGGCAAAAGAACAGGCUGUUUGUGAGUGGGUGUCAGAGGCACAACGCUAAUUUAGUCCUAAAUUUGUUUAUUAAUUACGUUCAUGCUCAGCUGGUAAAUACAUCGAUAGAUUUUAAAUGGUCUUUUAAAAGACGCCAAGGUUUGAUAUUUAGUGAA